UACGUAGGGUGCAAGCGUUGUCCGGAAUUAUUGGGCGUAAAGAGCUCGUAGGCGGUUUGUCGCGUCGAAUGUGAAAACCCGGGGCUCAACCCCGGGCCUGCAUUCGAUACGGGCAGACUAGAGUUCGGUAGGGGAGUCUGGAAUUCCUGGUGUAGCGGUGAAAUGCGCAGAUAUCAGGAGGAACACCGGUGGCGAAGGCGGGUCUCUGGCCCGGUACUGACGCUGAGGUGCGAAAGCGUGGGGAGCAAACAGG
rnacentral:rRNA from 1 species